AGCUCCAAUAGCGUAUAUUAAAGUUGUUGCGGUUAAAAAGCUCGUAGUUGGAUUUCUGCCGAGGGCGACCGGUUCACCCUUAGGGGUCGAUAUCAGGUUUGACCGAGGCUUUUUCUUGGGAUUCGACUUGGUACUUAACUGUGCCAACCGUUUUUCCAAGACUUUUACUUUGAGGAAAUUAGAGUGUUUCAAGCAGGCUUAUGCCGUGAAUACAUUAGCAUGGAAUAAUAAGAUAUGACUUCGGUUAUAUUUUGUUGGUUUCUAGAACUGAAGUAAUGAUUAAUAGGGACAGUCGGGGGCAUUCGUAUUUAAUUGUCAGAGGUGAAAUUCUUGGAUUUAUUAAAGACGAACUACUGCGAAAGCAUUUGCCAAGGAUGUUUUCA
rnacentral:rRNA from 1 species